ACGUUAGCGGCGGACGGGUGAGUAACACGUGGGUAACCUACCUAUAAUACUGGGAUAACUUCGGGAAACCGGAGCUAAUACCGGAUAAUAUUUCGAACCGCAUGGUUCGAUAGUGAAAGGUGGUUUUGCUAUCACUUAUAGAUGGACCCGCGCCGUAUUAGCUAGUUGGUAAGGUAACGGCUUACCAAGGCGACGAUACGUAGCCGACCUGAGAGGGUGAUCGGCCACACUGGAACUGAGACACGGUCCAGACUCCUACGGGAGGCAGCAGCG
rnacentral:rRNA from 1 species